rnacentral:lncRNA from 1 species
CUUUUUAAUGGUUUAUAUUUCAUUGCUCUAUUUAAUGAUUUUGGUGUUUAAGUCGCCCCAGACUGGGCCCAUGGGGACCUUCCCAGCUGGCUGUGUGUCCUUGUGGUGAGCCCCCUUGCCUUCCUGGCCUGUGGAGAUCUUGCACUUCAUCUUGCACCUCGUCUGCUCAUUCUUGCCAUUAGCCACUUCUCUGGAAAGCCCUGUUUCCUUUCAGUGGGCAGUUGAAAGAUCUGGCACCAAGUGUUCUCAUUGCUACUGGGACGUCUUUGCGUUUUGGUCCUUUCAGAAGACCGAGAUGGGACGUAUUACAAAACAUAAAACUGUGAAAGUGUAUAAAACAAACACAACUGAGCAAAAAGGUGUGCUGAAAGCAGUGUGUCCCCCCCCACACGCCUUCCAUCUCACCCCUUCUCUGUCUGCAGUCUGUCUUCUGUUUCUUUCUGUGAGCACGAGUGCGUCGAGGUGGCUGGUGUCCGUGCCAGCUUGCCCACAGGGCCGUGGGCUGUGUGUGCGCUUUCUGCUCGGCAGUAGCUCUGGAAGUCCCUCUCUCCCUCCACAGGGCUCUUCCCCAUUCCUUUAACAGCUGCGCUGUGCCUGUACCGACCUCUUUUGCAGGACGUUUAGGGACUUUCCAGUUUUGGGGGGUUAUAAAAAUACUGCAUUAACUACCCUUGUACACAUGCAUUUUCCUGUUGUUGAAGGUGUAUCUACCAGAUGAAUUGCUCCUAGUGGGUCUGCUAGGUUGAAGGUUGGAAUAGUGAUUUAAACUUUUCUUUUAACCUGCAUUUAAGUGGAAAAAGACAGCUGAAUAAAAUGAUCAGACAAGCUGUGCAGGCAGUGCACCUGCAGGACAGAGAGCACACAGGCAGACGCGUGGAGGUGUGGGGCUAGGUCACGCUGCAGCCCCACGCUGCAAAGCAGAAGUGACUCACCUUGCGACCGAGGUCAGGUGGACCCCUCUGAGGGUCUGUCAUCAGCCCCAGGUCCCUGUGGAAAUCAGUCCACAUGAGCCCACUGAACUGCUCCUUGGUGGCAGCAGUGUGGCAUGUGGCCCCUGGGAGGAAAGCUGGGCUGCACCAGCACAGGGACAGUGUCGGCAGGGACAAGUGGGAGGAGGGGCCCAAAAGGCAGCACAGACCCACGCCAGACCUGGUGCAGCAUGGCAAGGGGUUCGUCAAGACCCUAAAUCAUCAGCCAGGCUGGUCCUCUUCAGCAUCCUCUUCUAAAGAUGGCUGUGGUGUCCCUUUCAGAGCAGUGAGAACCUGGGGAGACCCUCUCCUCGCAAACCUCCUACCUGCCACUUCUGCGCUAGGUAGCAUUUCACCCGUAGGUGAGAUCUGGCACCUUAAGAGUGUCGAAUAGCAUUGUUCAAAACGGCUGGGGGGUGGGGGGGCUCAGUGGUAGAGCACUUGCCGGUCACGCGUAAGGCAUUGGCUUCGAAUCUCAGCACCAUGGAAACAUAGAUAAAUAAAUAAAUGAC